CUCAACAUCAGUCAGCAGAUACACAACACAGGGAGAACAAUUUGUUCUUUGAAGGGCUAAUCAUGUCUGCAGUGGGAUCUAUUCCUAUUCCUGUCCACCCAUAUUUCUUCUCCUCUUCAUCUUCUGCAUAACCUCAGACAUUCCUGCAGCUCAAUAGAACAUCUGGAUGAAGGACAAAGCCAUUUCCAUUGCUAAGACCAGCAAGUAUUGAGUUUUGACCCAGUUUUAAAGGCGAGGAGGCUAAAAGAAGAAUGGGAAUCUAUCAGUCAGGAGCCAUGGUAAACAUUGUCCAGGCAGGACAUCUUGGCAGCUCAAGUGGAGGAAGAGGCUGAGAUUGAGAAAUCAUAUGAAUUCAUAUGACUCCCAUAAGAAUCUGAAAAAAUAUGUUUAUUUGAAGGAGUUAACUCAUUAAUAUAGCUCUUAAAGCA